rnacentral:rRNA from 1 species
UUCAACUGUGAAAGCAAUGAAUCACUCUCGACCUGUGAAUACAGACAACUGAGUGCUUACAGCUGAAUCACUGAGCCUGGCCUGGACAGUACCUGGAUGGGAGACCACAUGGGAAAACUAGGUUGCGGAUGGAA